rnacentral:hammerhead_ribozyme from 1 species
AUCCAGUUGACGAGUCUUAAAUAGGACGAAACACACGUCCUGGAU